UAUGGCAAAUGAUGAUUAAUUUUAACGCUUAUUGAUAUACUGAAUAAAAAGUGUUGACAAAAACCUCUGACUAACUGAUGCCAUUUUCAUUUUUCCUUAAACUUUUUAAUUAUUUGUUCUGUUUUUGUUAAUGUUGUUGGUUUUUAUAAGGCUUGGCAAAUGAUGUUAAAAAUUUGUCAUUCUAUAGACAGAUGAUAUUCUGUGAUGAUAAAAAACUCCGCUUAUUAUCUGAUGCCUUCCUUGUAUUAGCUUUAUUAAUUUGAUUUCAGUUUUGAAUUUUUAAUGUUUGUUUGAGUUUGUCUGAUUGGUAUGAAAAAUUUAGGUUUGAUAUGAGACUUCUAUGCCUUGUUGAUUGUCUGCCACUUCCAACUAUGGAAUGUCUCUGAGAUUCAAAUUCAAUCAAUAGCAUAAAGUUUUAAUUUUAAAUGAUGCUAUCUUGUUUUAGUUUGGAUUGUUUAAUUGAAAUUGUGUAAGCUCUGCUAUAAUAAUGUUGCAUCAAUUAUGUCUGGACAUAUGAAGUUUUAUUUUGAUAUAAUUUGCUAAUUUCUGAGCAAUAUUAUCGUUUGUUUUUAAUCAUUUCAUUUAAUCACUGAUACCUAACACUGAUUGGCCAAAUGAUGAAUCUUUCAAAUCACUGAGACCUCAAACACUGAUUUAAGUUCUAUGAAUAUUUUAUUUGAAUAGGAAAUCUGUUAUUUUUUUUAUCAAUGUAGCCUGUGAUGGAGACUAUAUAUAUGGUUCUGAAAUGCCAAGUUUUUCUUGCAUUUGUUGAAAAUUUUGAACUAGGACGGUCUGAGGCUAUUUAAAUUCAUUUGCAACAACAUAUUAUUUUGUUUUUAUAUGGAAGUGUGUAUUUCUGUAUUUAUAUUUUAAUGUUUAUGGUCAUCUGUUUGCACUUUGAUUGCUGUGGAUGAUGAGAGUAAAUUUUUACAGUUAUCCCUGUCUGAUACUGCAGUGCAGGUGCUGAAAAUUUGUAAUCUGACACUCAU
rnacentral:lncRNA from 1 species